CAUAACAUGAGUAAUGCGCCCGCAAAUGGCACUGACCCAUCUUGCCCCGUGACCCAUCUUGCCCCGCGGCCGUUUAUAUGGAGAUUAUAUGGAAUGUAUCGCAUAAGAAAAAUGGCUAAAAACCAUUUUAUUUUUUAUUUCCAAUGAGAGUGAAUAAUUUUUCAAUCAAUGCUCCAAACUUUUGUAUAUUCAUGCUGGUCAUCUAACAAAAUUAUUAAUCUAAACAAAACAUGAGUAAUGCGCCCAAAAAUGGCACUGACCCAUCUUGCCCCGUGACCCAUCUUG